CCUACGGGCGGCUGCAGUGGGGAAUAUUGGACAAUGGGGGGAACCCUGAUCCAGCCAUGCCGCGUGUGUGAAGAAGGCCCUCGGGUUGUAAAGCACUUUCAGUGAGGAAGAACGCCUGGUGGUUAAUACCCAUCAGGAAAGACAUCACUCACAGAAGAAGCACCGGCUAACUCCGUGCCAGCAGCCGCGGUAAUACGGAGGGUGCGAGCGUUAAUCGGAAUUACUGGGCGUAAAGCGCGCGUAGGUGGCUUGAUAAGCCGGUUGUGAAAGCCCCGGGCUCAACCUGGGAACGGCAUCCGGAACUGUCAAGCUAGAGUGCAGGAGAGGAAGGUAGAAUUCCCGGUGUAGCGGUGAAAUGCGUAGAGAUCGGGAGGAAUACCAGUGGCGAAGGCGGCCUUCUGGACUGACACUGACACUGAGGUGCGAAAGCGUGGGUAGCAAACAGGAUUAGAUAUCCGUGUAGUC
rnacentral:rRNA from 1 species